rnacentral:rRNA from 1 species
UCGGGAAUUUCGGGCAAUGGGCGAAAGCCUGACCCAGCAACGCCGCGUGAAGGAUGAAAUCCCUCGGGAUGUAAACUUCGCAAGAAUGGGAAGAAUUAGUAGGGGACAAUACCCCCUAUGAUGACGGUACCAUUUGUAAGCUCCGGCUAACUCCGUGCCAGCAGCCGCGGUAAUACGGGGGGAGCAAGCGUUGUUCGGAUUUACUGGGCGUAAAGGGCGCGUAGGCGGCCAGCACAAGUCGGUUGUGAAAUCUCCGGGCUUAACCCGGAAAGGUCAACCGAUACUGUGCGGCUAGAGUGCAGAAGGGGCAACUGGAAUUCUCGGUGUAGCGGUGAAAUGCGUAGAUAUCGAGAGGAACACCUGCGGCGAAGGCGGGUUGCUGGGCUGACACUGACGCUGAUGCGCGAAAGCCAGGGGAGCGAACGG